rnacentral:rRNA from 1 species
UACGUAGGGGGCAAGCGUUGUUCGGAAUUACUGGGCGUAAAGGGCGCGUAGGCGGCACGGCAAGUCAGGAGUGAAAGCCCUGGGCUCAACCCGGGAACUGCUUUUGAAACUGCCGAGCUAGAGUGCGGAAGGGGCAUCUGGAAUUCCCAGUGUAGCGGUGAAAUGCGUAGAUAUUGGGAAGAACACCUGAGGCGAAGGCGGGUUGCUGGGCCGACACUGACGCUGAUGCGCGAAAGCCAGGGGAGCGAACGGG